CUUCUCCCCCGCAGACUGACCGUUCCACCCAGAGGCCAGUGACUGACUCACCCUGACCCCUAUCUCCCCCACACUUCUCCCCCACAGACAGGGGCCACUGACUGAUCCCCAUCUCCCCCACACUUCUCCCCCACAGACUUCCACCCAGAGGCCAAGGCCAGUGACUGACUCACCCUGACCCCUAUCUCCCCCACACUUCUCCACUACACUUCUCACACACAAUCCUCACAGAAAUAACCCAACUCCCAGAGAAGUUAAGAGUCUCUUGAGUUACCACUGUCAAUUAGAAAACAGAACAGAGGCGUAUGAAAUGUGUCAGUGCAUGGAUGAUAUACAACUUUACAAUAAUACAUCUGUCUAUCAGAGAUUAUUUGAUAUGUGAAAUACCUUUGACCGUCAUAGACCAGUGAUAGAUUAAGAUACUGGAGAAAUAUUCUAUGUUGAUACAGACACCAAAGUCAUGCCUGUGGACACUGAUCUGACUCUGUGUACUUGUCUAUCCAUGUCUCCAUGAGCCUUAUUGUCACACUGUCUUGGAUGUUUGAGUGCAUCUCAGUGCGCCACGGGUUGGUGUCUAUGUCCCAGACUGCAUCACUUAAGGGGGAUGAUUAUGAAGAUAAGAGUAGCCCAGGGAGCAGGCUCAGGUACUUCCUCUAUGUCUACUGGAAUGUAAUGGAUUGCUCCUCCUUAAGCCUCAGAGAGCCCAAGCUCUAUGAUUUAUGUCUGGGUACAAGGCUAUGUACACACUCCUUUAAUGGGAGAUAACAAUUUGGCACGCAAGGCAAACAAAAAGCUCUUACAAUCAAUUCUGGGCCGCCCCCUCUUGAUGCAGGGAGAUUAUUCCAUCACACACUUGGCUUUGUUGCCACUGUGUUUUUAUGUUUUUUUUUCUUCAGAAUGAAUGAAAGUGUUCCGUUAUUCAUUCGUUGGUUGUCCUCCUCUGUUUGAGCUGGAGAACUGCUUGCUCUGUUCCGUUUAAAUGGCAGCGAAGAGAAAGGCUGACAUUCCAAUGUAAUCAUCCAUUAAGUGAUAAGGCUGGUGCUCUAUUGCCUGGCUGGCUGGUGGUGCUGCUGAGGCUGCUGUUUAAAUUCUUCAGGGUGAGAGGAAUGGUCUUACUGAACCAACGGCAGUUAGACCAGAGUAUACAUACUGGAGUUUCUGGUGGCCAUUUUGGUCUGACUAUUUAUUUACUUACUGCAGGUGGAUAUAAGACUGAAAAUGCUAUGGCCAUUUUCUUAAUUCCUUACUACUAACUAAAUAAUUGGUGUGUUUUGUUAUGUGGUUUUAUAUUGAGUAUGAUAUCCC
ensembl:lncRNA